CGUACGGGACAACAUUCCGAAAGGAGUGCUAAUACCGGAUGUGAUCAUCUUGCCGCAUGGCAGGAUGAAGAAAGAUGGCCUCUACAAGUAAGCUAUCGCUAAAGGAUGGGCCUGCGUCUGAUUAGCUAGUUGGUAGUGUAACGGACUACCAAGGCGAUGAUCAGUAGCCGGUCUGAGAGGAUGAACGGCCACAUUGGGACUGAGACACGGCCCAA
rnacentral:rRNA from 1 species